ACAGCAGCCGCCGCGGGAAUACGAAGGGGGCUAGCGUUGCUCGGAUUUACUGGGCGUAAAGGGCGCGUAGGCGGGCGAAUCAGUCAGGGGUGAAAUCCCAAGGCUCAACCUUGGAACUGCCUUUGAUACUGUUUGUCUUGAGUUCGAGAGAGGUAAGUGGAACUGCGAGUGUAGAGGUGAAAUUCGUAGAUAUUCGCAAGAACACCAGUGGCGAAGGCGGCUUACUGGCUCGAAACUGACGCUGAGGCGCGAAAGCGUGGGGAGCAAACAGGAUUAGAUACCCCGGUAGUCCCUGUCUCUUAUAC
rnacentral:rRNA from 1 species